UUUCCGGUUGAUCCUGCCGGACCUGACUGCUAUCGGAUUGAUACUAAGCCAUGCGAGUCUUUGUAGUAAUACAAGGCAGACGGCUCAGUAACACGUAGUCAACCUACCCUAUGGACAAGAAUAAUCUCGGGAAACUGGGCAUAAUUCUUGAUAGAUCAUAAUGCCUGGAAUGGUUUAUGGUUAAAAUGAUUCGUCGCCAUAGGAUGGGACUGCGGCCUAUCAGCUUGUUGGUGAGGUAAUGGCCCACCAAGGCGAUUACAGGUACGGGCUCUGAGAGGAGAAGCCCGGAGAUGGGUACUGAGACACGGACCCAGGCCCUAUGGGGCGCAGCAGGCGAGAAAACUUUGCAAUGUGCGAAAGCACGACAAGGUUAAUCCGAGUGAUUUCUGCUAAAGAAAUCUUUUGCCAGUCAUAAAACCACUGGUGAAUAAGGGGUGGGCAAGUUCUGGUGUCAGCCGCCGCGGUAAAACCAGCACCUCAAGUGGUCAGGAUGAUUAUUGGGCCUAAAGCAUCCGUAGCCGGCUUUGUAAGUUUUCGGUUAAAUCCAUGUGCUCAACGCAUGGGCUGCCGAAAAUACUGCAUGGCUAGGGAGUGGGAGAGGUAGACGGUACUCAGUAGGAAGGGGUAAAAUCCUUUGAUCUAUUGAUGACCACCUGUGGCGAAGGCGGUCUACCAGAACACGUUCGACGGUGAGGGAUGAAAGCUGGGGGAGCAAACCGGAUUAGAUACCCGGGUAGUCCCAGCUGUAAACGAUGCAGACUCGAUGAUGCAUUGGCAUAAUAGCCAGUGCAGUGUCGCAGGGAAGCCGUUAAGUCUGCCGCCUGGGAAGUACGUACGCAAGUAUGAAACUUAAAGGAAUUGGCGGGGGAGCACCACAAGGGGUGAAGCCUGCGGUUCAAUUGGAGUCAACGCCGGG
rnacentral:rRNA from 1 species